rnacentral:lncRNA from 1 species
UUGUUGCAGUAUAAUAUUUUUCUCCCUUUUAUUUUAGGUUGAACCUGCUGAAUCAGUAUCAUGUGUAUUUCCUUGUGCAGACAAAAACGCUUCGCAAUCAGCUGUAUUAUCAAGUUCAACAUCAAUUGAUCAUGAAUCUAUUGAAGUUUCUUCUCCUGUGAAAGUCCAGGUACAUUUUUCUCUGUAAUCGAGUCUUUUAUUAUUUUGUUGGAAUUCGCCCCUGUCUUUAAAAAAUUCAUCAACUCAAUGAAAGAUGCAGUUUUUGAUACACAAGUUUAGCCACUGGUGUGCACAGUGAAUUAUUUUCUCACUUUUAAGACUGAUUUAAGUAUGCAUUUGUUAAAUAUUAGUUUUCUACCAGAAAAUUUAGAUUUUCAAACAAUUUUUAACUUCUUUUUAAGAAUGCAAUGAAAUAACUUGUGUAGUCCUGAGGGCUUUAAUUUUUUCAUGAUAGACCUACGUUCAGAGGUGCAAGCAGUACUUAGGAUACCAUUGUUCCCAUCUAAUUCAUUCAUUCACUUAUUUUUUUUUUUUUACAUCCAGAUUGAUCCUGCUGAAAGUUUAUCAUACGCAGUUUCUUCUCAAGGAAAAGAUCUAUCCAGACAAAAUCCAUCAUUUGACAUUCCUACUCCACUGAAAGCUCAGGUUAAAUCCCGGAAGCAAGAGUUGGCAGCUUCAAUUGAAGGACGAAAGUGUAAGAAGUGUGAUAUGGAACCAGUUGAAACACCAACCAGACUCCGAAGAAAAAGAAUCAGAAAUGAAAGAGAUGAUUUUGUUUAUGAUUUCUCUCAAAGUAGUUCCAGUGGAACUGGUGCUGUUUCAGAUAAUCCACUCAGUCAGGAAUUCAAAGAAAAAGAAGACAAGUUGAAAAUUAGGGAGCUUAAUCUAAAGCUUAUGAAAAAUAACCCUAAAUUUUUUUCUCGGUGUAAAUCCGAAAGCAUUCUCUUUAAUUGAACGUCUUGCAAAUUAUACAAAGUGCUAUGAAGAGAAAAUUUUAAUUUCUUUGAGAAAAAAUUCGUUUAAAUGAGCCUGCAGAACUGCUUGGAUUCAUGCUAGGUUAUUGUGUAAGCUAUAUCGGUAGAAUUUUAAAAUAAACUAUACCUAAAGUAGCAGAUUAUUUGCGAACUUUGAUUUUUCAACCUAGAGAUGAUAUUAUUCAAGCGAAUCUUCCUAUCCCAUUUAGAGCUUUCUUCAAGAACGUAGGUUUCAUUUUCGAUUGUUUUGAAGUAGAAAUCGAAAAAACCGUCGAACCCUUUAAUUCAGGCUCUUACAUGGUCUCAAUAUAAAAAAGGCAACACCCUAAAAUAUCUUGUAUCUGCGACACCUGAUGGCUACAUUAAUUUCAUUUCUGCGGGAUUUGGUGGAAGAGCCACAGAUCAAGUCACCGUAGAAAAUUCAGGAGUUUUAGAUGUCCUGAGGCCAGGGUUAACUGUCAUGGCAGAUAGAGGGUUCAAAAAUGUAGCUGCAGCACUUGAGAAUAAAGGGAGCAAGCUUGUGAGGCCUCCUAGUGUUAAAGCUGGGGAACAACUCUCAAAAAAGGAUGUAAGGGAAGCAAAGGUAAUUGCCAGUUUGAGGAUUCACAUUGAACGAGUAAUAAGAAGACUCAGAGAUUAUGAUUUUAUCUCUCCUCAUUCUCUCUUCCAUCAUGACCUGAUGUGCUUGGCUGAUUCUGUAGUUAUCAUUGCUGCUGCCCUAGCAAAUCUACAAUCCCCUUUGAUCAAAGUGUGAAACAAUCACUCUGAGAAACCAAAGUCUUCAAGAUACAUUUUAAUGCCAAUUUGGCUGGCUUUCAUAGAACAUGGUAAAAUGAUUGAAAAAAUAAUCGAGCUAUGAGCCAAAAAUAAAUUAAACAAAUAAUAUUUUCUGAUAGUUUUGUAGCUUUUUUAUACAUUUUUUUAAAUUUGUUUUUGUAAAAUAUUUCCACUUAUUGCACUGAAGAAGACGGCAGUUGUUGGCGGUCGGAACGUUUGUUUUGUUUUGUUUCCUGAAAGUUUUUAGUAAUUCUCAUCUCUAAGUAGUUUAAAAUAUUAUUUGUUUAAUUUAUUUUUGGCUUGUAGCUCGAUUAUUUUUUCAAUCAUUUUACUGUCUUCAAGAUGUGUUACCUACUCAACUACUAAAUUUACUUUGCAUCCCUUUUCCCCUUCUUUUAAAUCUCACAGUAAACAGGUCCUAGCUCGUGCUGCUUUCUUGUUCUUAAGUUGCUGGUACAUUUUUUUGGUUAAUAAAGAAGCAUUUAUCAGAACAGGUCCAUUCCAUCUGCAUCAGAGAAAAAAAAUACACUGAAAUGUGGCCCGAACUGUGAGUAACAGAAUGGUGGAAUAGUGCUGGGUCCACACUAUUUUCCAGGGAAAUCAAGGCCAGAAAAAUCAAAAAAUUUCAAUCAGAGUUGAAAACUCAUUACAGUUUAAAUUUUUGACAUUGAUCGAAAUGUUUGGAAUUUUUUGGCCUUGAUUUCCCUGCAGAAUUGUGUGGACCCAACACUAUUCUAUCAUCCUGUUACUCACAGUUUGGGCCACAUUUCAGUGUAUUUUUUUCUCUGAUGCAGAUGGAAUGGACCUGUUCUGAUAAAUGCUUCUUUAAAACCAGUAGAGAAGGUACGAAUUUAAGCAAUCUGAUACAAGUUUCUGAACCAGAAUUUCACGUAAAACACGAUUUGCAUAACAAAAAUUACUGAAACCAACUCCUAACGAAGAUAUCAACGUUUUUAUUUCACAUUGGUUACAAGGAAUUUGAACUGCCCGCUCACAAGAAACUCAAAGUUCUAUGUGAGUCAAAUCGCGCUCUACAAUGGUUUCAGCAAGCUUCUCAAUCGAGCGAUGUUCAUAUCCCACCAUGUGUUGUUCAAACUAAAAGCAAUUUGCUAUAGCUGAGCCAAAGAGUCAAUAUUGAAUUUGCCAGAUUUUUAUUUUGCAGAGACUGUCAUGAUAACGUUUAGCGCACGAUGUGAAUCACGCAGAGCAUUGAGUUUUCAUGAGCGGGCGGUUUGAGUUCAUGCAUCAAGAAUCAUUAAAUAUCUUUAGAAGGAGUUGAUAGCGGUAAUUUUCGUUGUGCGCGUCGUAUUUUACGUGAAAUUUUGGUGAGAAAACAUGUGUCAGAAUGCUGAAAUUCGUACCUUGUCUAGUAGUGCAUUGUCUCAAUUGUCUAAUGAUCUCUAUAGUCUCUUAACAAAAUCAAAGCCAGAACUCAAUUUGAAAGCUAGAAGUUCAGCUGAACUUCGGUGUUUUUUGUUUGUUUUGAAAGCUAAUGGGAGGAGAAAAAAUUUAAACACCUGUGUUUUUUCUAUGACUAUUACUGCUUGUGGACUUACUCUCAGGAAAAAUCAAGGAAUAUUAUCAAAGGAUAAAAACAGAAAAUCCCCCAAAAAUUGGAGAUUCUCUAGAAGCCUCAUAAAGAGAAAAAAACAUGUGAUCAGCCUCCAAGACCAAAACUUGCAAUGUUUUUUUUCAUUUAGGUAUGUUUAAAAUUUCAUUUUAAACAGAGAAUUAUAUAAAUGCUUUUGACUGAGAAAGAAAAAUAGGAAAGAGAAAGAUUGAUUCAUUUGUAUAAAAUGGGGAAAAUGUACUUGAUCCAAAAUUCUGCUGCCGCAUUCAGCAAUGGCUGUAAGAAUGCUUUAUCAAAUUUUACCUCUAUGAUUAUGACAUUUCCCGAGUCUUUGAAGUCAUGUGCUGCAACACAAAAUAUCCUUUCCUUCUGCCGGUUAAGAGCAUUUGUAGCUGCAUUUGCGCCAUGUACUUUUUUUCAGGCGCUCCAUCCCUGAAAUAUGUUUGAAAAGUACUAGCCGAAGCAGGACAUUUGAUUUCAAAAACGUGCGUCUCUGUUAUUCCAUCUGGAGAUGCUCCAAAUAUUGAAUACUUGGAGCGCAUGAACAUACCAGCCUCUUUGAUUUUUAUGUUCAAUUCUCGCUGAACUUUCUUUCUUACAAGAGGCUCUAAAUCAAGUCCGUCACUCAUGGCCUUGGUCCCUUUGAACUUUUUUGCUCCUAAAAUGGAGUCCCGUAGGGUUCCAUCUCCGGUGGUGCAGUGAGCUGCUUCCCAUAACUUUGAGGCAGAAACUCUGCCAAAAUGUAAAUCGAACCAAAGUUGACAUUUACUCUGUUUAAUAGUCAUUCUCUCCAAAGCGGCACACAUUGCUGAGUCCAUCUUUUCGCUGGAAAAUUUUAAAAAUGAGGUUGCAGUUUGUUCAGUCGGUUCGUCUUUGAAGUCUAACAUUAGAUGAUGCACAGCUAAUGAUGUUUUCCUUUGUUACUGAUUAGAGAACAUGAUAUCUGAAAAUGAAAACCAAAUCAAACUCGUGAUGACUGCUGCGGAAUGACAUUUAAAUUACAAUAUGUACUCCCUCCUUCUCAAUAAUAAUACUUAAAGUGCAUGUAUUAUUAAUAACCUGACAAGGCUCCAACUACAGAAAUUUAAAUCAUCUUCUGCCACGGUUUAGAAAUAUUUUAGAACUAUUCUUCUUCUUAUUAUUAUUUUGUAUUUUUAUUCAUAUUUAUGUACAUUUGUAAAGAUAUCAUUUGUAGAUCCUCAACUCAACUUUUUGUGAACAACCCAUGCUCUGUAAGCAAGACAAAAUAGCUUUUCAUGGUUUUUCAAAACCAGUUUGUUGGAUGAUUCCUUGUAUUCUAUUCAUUCAAAGGGAUCACUUAUGCAGGAGUUAGGUGAUGUUUUUGUGCGGGUUUUUUUUUCCUACUUAAAGUUGAAAAAAGCACAUUUGCUCAGAGUUGAAAAGUUAUAUGAAUUCUAUGACUUGAAUGCUUUUUAAACUUAAAUAAUGAGAUAAUAAUGACCUCUAGUGUUCAGUUGUUUCGAAAAGACUGAGCUAAGAGGAAUUUUACUUUUGAGGGCUAAUGUCUCAAUUUUCUGAAUAAAAUCACUUAACUCCUUUGUCAGGGAUACCUUUCAUUUUUGCCAAUGAUUAAAAAAAUGUUAGAAAACUGACUGAAAAUGAUAAAUGACUGUGAUACAUUUUUUUGACUAAGUGUAAGAUCAAGUACCUAAAUCUUGGUUUUCUUCCUCUAAAUUACUUAAGGAACACUUUAUACUCAUGUGAACCUUGUUACUUUUGUAAACUACAAAAUUUGAAUAUUUAGGUGUAAAUAUGAACCUACCUCAACCCAACAAUUUCACUUUUUCAGUAGAUAAAAAUAUGCUAGUAAGUUAAUACUAUCUCUUUGAACUGGGUAAAUUUUGCAAAACUGUACCUAAGUACAGUUUAAAGUAAAACAGUACCUAAGCACCUCAAAGACUGUUGCAUGUUUUAGCAAAUGUCUGUUAGUAAUAAAAUGUAUAUAAUAUUUGCAAAUACACUGCUAAUUUGUAAAAUAUAUACCUCAGUUUCCCCUCCCCUCAUUACUACAAGAGGCUUCAUUUAUAAAAAAAGAAUCAAUGAAUAAAUGGAGUCAAAUCACUGAAAAACAUGCUGAUUCAUUAUUUUCUUAAAAAUCAUCCUUUGAAAUUAGUUAUCUUUGAAAAAUAAUUCCCACUUUUUUCCAACCGAACAAAAUACCAUAAUUUUGUUGCGUUUUAUGUA